rnacentral:rRNA from 1 species
GACGAACGCUGGCGGCGUGCUUAACACAUGCAAGUCGAACGGUAAGGCCCUUCGGGGUACACGAGUGGCGAACGGGUGAGUAACACGUGGGUGAUCUGCCCUGCACUUCGGGAUAAGCCUGGGAAACUGGGUCUAAUACCGGAUAGGACUCCGGACUGCAUGGUCUGGGGUGGAAAGCUUUUGCGGUGUGGGAUGGGCCCACGGCCUAUCAGCUUGUUGGUGGGGUGAUGGCCUACCAAGGCGACGACGGGUAGCCGGCCUGAGAGGGUGACCGGCCACACUGGGACUGAGAUACGGCCCAGACUCCUACGGGAGGCAGCAGUGGGGAAUAUUGCACAAUGGGCGCACGCCUGAUGCAGCGACGCCGCGUGAGGGAUGACGGCCUUCGGGUUGUAAACCUCUUUCAGCACAGACGAAGCGCAAGUGACGGUAUGUGCAGAAGAAGGACCGGCCAACUACGUGCCAGCCGCCGCGGUAA